rnacentral:lncRNA from 1 species
UGAAACUAAAAAAACAAAGAGGGAACGGAUCAUGGGUGUUUCUUCAACGGGUUUCACCGGAACAACACCAAAAAGACACGGAUCCGAUCAGAUUUACCCAUUUUUCCGACGAGCAGUAGCGAAAAGGGGUGAAAGGGGCGGCACCAACAGUAGUGGCUACGGCAGGAACUCGCCAGCAAUCACCUCCGACGAGCCAGCAGUGAAACAGAGAAUUAAAAUAGGCGGUGGUCGUAGCAUUACUGCUAUUGUGUAAAACCCACCGGGUUUUCGGUGGUGGUGGCAUGGUAGAGCAAUUUUCGGCCAUCCGACAUUUGUAUCCAGCGGUGACAAUAAAGAGGGGGAAGAAGGGAAG